rnacentral:lncRNA from 1 species
UUAUACCAUAACCAAACCUAAAUUUAUUUAUUUCAUCCUUACAUUUACAAUUUCAAAAUGACACACACACAAGACAUCCUAGGUACAUGCCAUUACCCAUAAUUAACACACUUUACCUCAUUGAAUUCGGGAUCGGCCUGGGAUGCUGAUUCAACAUUCUAUCUUUACUUUACCUGCGCACGGAAACAAACCGUACGCUGAGUAUGGUAUACUCAGUGGUAUUUCUAUAAUCCGAACACUUGAUAAUAUAACAAUUAAACUUAAAAUCACAAUAACAAAUAUAACUAUUCAUUUAUUUAUUUUAUAGAUAAGUUUCAUUUACUUACCAUAAAAAUUCUAUACAAGCCAUAUAACAAACACAACAACAUAUUUGCUCAAUUCUUUUCAUUUGCUUACCGUAUAAAUUAUUUACAAUAUAUUCACAAUUCAUUUGUAUUCACACUUUACUUCUUAACAAUAUACCAUUUUAAUUCAUUCUAACAUCAAUCAUCAUCCAUUUGAACUUCACUCAUUUCAUGAAACUUUUGGUUCAUGUUUUCAAUCUCAUAUCUCAAUUUCAAUUCUCAAUUCAAUUUCUCAUUUCAUUCCAAUAGCUCAAUCAAUCAAAUUCACUCGAUUUAUCUUUUCACUUAUUUACCGCAAUUAACAAGACUCAGACUCUGAUAGAUACCAGAAUAUCCAACCCAAACACACCCGGAAUAUUAUAAAUCCUCCAUAACACACCAGUAUAUCAUAUCCUCCCAAACACACCAAUAAGAAAUUAAAUGCCUCUUCGGAUAAACCGAAGUAUAUAAUAACAGAAACAUCUUCUCGGUCGAACUACAAAUCUUCCCAUCACAUCACAAAUCCAAUGGCAUGCCAUUUGUAUCCAAUCUGGUCCGAUACUGUUAAUAGGGUAUUUGAUUCACUUUCUCAAUUUAAUAAGUCUUUAAUCAAUAUACCAUUCUAAUAAUCACAUAUAUUCAUAUCAAUUCCCUCAUAUUUUCAAUCAAUAUAAUUUUUUUUAAUAUAACAUUCAUUCAAUAUUCAAAUUUUUACAUAAAUCAUAUAUAUAUAUUAUAUUUCAAUCAAUAUAAAUUCCAUCAAAAUGAUUUCAAUCAAUAUAAAUUUGAUAAAUUCAUCACAUACCAAAAUCAAUCCAUUUCAAUUGUAAAAUAUCAUAAUUCUAACACUAAAUAUAAAUAUAACAAAUAAUGACUGAGUUCAGAUUAUAGAAAUAUAAACCGUAUUUUCUCGAGCUAACUCCCGUUGUCUUUGCCAUUUUUCCUUGCUUAGCCGAGAUUUCCCGAGACAACAUUAGCUAUGGGAAUUAAAACAAUUCAUAUUCGUUAAUUCUCUACUAAUUUAUAUCUAAUUAAUAAAUUUGGAUUCAAUUUCUACUUUAAUUUCAAUUUAAUCUUAACUAAAUUCACUUACUUUUUCUAUCUCAAUUCAUAUUUCAUUUCUAUUCAAAUUUUGUCCAAACUCAUACUUAACUAUUAAAUUUUCAGCAUAUUUUCCUAAUUUCAAAAAUUUCAUCAAUUUAGUCCCUUCAACAUAAAACUUAUGAAUUACUUUACAAUUCAAUCCUUAUUUCAUUUCUAACUUGAAUUCCUAUCAAUCUAACCCCUAAUUCAUUUUUUUAUUCAACAUGAACAAUAUUUAGAAUUCUAAUAACUUUCAAAAUAUUAAUUUAAUUUCAUCAAAACUUUGUUCUAAAGCUUUUAAAACAUCAAAAUUAAGUAAAAAGGGCUAAAUUAACUUACCUAUUAAACUUCCAAACCUUCAAACCCCAAUUCUCCCUUUUUCUUUUCUUUCUCCUUUCUUUCUUUCCUUCCCCUGCUUUUCGUUUGCCUAUUCUGUUUCUUUUUUUU